CCAGAUGGCGGAAUUGGUAGACGCACUAGGUUCAGGUCCUAGCGGUGGCAACACUGUGGAGGUUCGAGUCCAGCUUGAAACA
rnacentral:tRNA from 1 species